UACGUAUGGAGCAAGCGUUAUCCGGAUUUACUGGGUGUAAAGGGUGCGUAGGUGGCAGUGCAAGUCAGAUGUGAAAGGUCGGGGCUCAACCCCGGAGCUGCAUUUGAAACUGCUCGGCUAGAGUACAGGAGAGGCAGGCGGAAUUCCUAGUGUAGCGGUGAAAUGCGUAGAUAUUAGGAGGAACACCAGUGGCGAAGGCGGCCUGUUGGACUGUUACUGACACUGAGGCACGAAAGCGUGGGGAGCAAACAGG
rnacentral:rRNA from 1 species